UACGGAGGGUGCAAGCGUUGUCCGGAUUUAUUGGGUUUAAAGGGUGCGUAGGCGGUCUUUUAAGUCAGUGGUGAAAUCCUCCAGCUCAACUGGAGAACUGCCAUUGAUACUGGAAGACUUGAGUAUAGUUGAGGUAGGCGGAAUUGACAGUGUAGCGGUGAAAUGCAUAGAUAUGACACAGAACACCGAUUGCGAAGGCAGCUCACAAAACUGUAACUGACGCUGAGGCACGAAAGCGUGGGUAGUCAAACAGGA
rnacentral:rRNA from 1 species